rnacentral:tRNA from 1 species
UUAGGUUUAGCUUAGUGGUAGAGCAUAUGCUUAGCAUGCACAAGGCCCAGGUUUCAACUCCCAGCACCAAAA